UCGGUUGCCAACUUGUGUGUGCGUGGUGCCCUGUGUGUGUACGUAUAGGUGUGUGUGUGUGAGUGAGUGCGUGUGUAUACGACCUAUACGCCGCUGCCGCCGCUUUUUCACGCGAUCGCGAGCGCCAAGUGCGCGACGGCGGCGAGCGGCGCGCGCAAAAGCUGCUGCCGCCGCCGCCGCCGCCGCCGAGCGUUGCGGGCCACCGAGGCAGGCCUUUGCGCGCUACGCCGCCGCGUGCGAGCGAGUAUACGUGUGCGUGUGCGUGAGUGUUCGUAUGCCGUCCGGCAUCACAUUCGCGCAUUCACGCCGCCAUUCGUCGGCGGGCCACCGGCUGACUUUGUCGACGGAAAGCUGACUUUUCACACACAGUAUAUAUAAUUUUCUCUCUCUUCCUCAAACACUCACUCUCUCUCUCUCACACACACACGCACACGCUCACACGUAUACAGAAUAACAGUAUUAUUUUUACAUCAUCUCUCUCGGUGGUUAUUUUAUUAAAAUAAUAUCACUAUGUCAGUAUACGAUAUCUAAAUUUCUAAAUAAUUCUCGUUACCGAUUUUCGGAACACGAUUUUAUUUGUACUCGUAUUUUUUUAUUAUUUGCCCUGAAAAUCCGUUAUUUUAAAAAGCAAUUUUUUUUAUUUUUCAUUCGAAAUAUUAUUCAAAUUUUUUGCGCCAUCGUAUAUUUAUUUAUACACAUGGCGCAUAUUAUAUAAUAAUGUUAUUUUAUAAAUACGUAUAACAUAUCAUACGGUCGGAAAAGCGGACACUCGAUUUUUCGCCAUCGACAACUUCUGAUCACUACCACCUCCAUCACCAAGGGCGUACGACGAUGACCAAGGUUCUCUGACCAGCACUUAUACAGUAUAAAUGAAUUGGUCAAGAUCGGUUGAAUUUUCUAAUACGGUCGUUUUCAACUGAUUCAAACGUGCUGGUUCGGAAGCACUUGCGGAGACCACUCAUCAACGCUAUCGUAUACAUGAGCGGUGCUCAGACUGCCCGUUUGAAUUCACACGGUGUUUCUACCCCCUAAGAGUCCGUCGUUCAACGAGUGAAAUACCUACUACGCCAUUUCACGAGUUCGUCGCACACACGCAGUGAGCAGUGCACCAUAAUAUUAUCUCAAUCGUUAAUUGGGUCCUGUGACACUGCCGAUAUUGAAACACGUCGCAUACGGUCAAUACCUAUAUAUAGGUAUACUGCUUAUACAUACAGGAGACCGGAUACCGCGGUUAAGGACCUGACAACACUCGAGUGUUCGGCGACGACGAAGACAGAUGUUGCCCUGGCCCUGUGCAAAAAAACGUUGCCGAUACGCGACCUCCGGUGCUUUGCGUGCAUGUUUCUAACGGCGAGAUUACGCAAUACACUAUUGAAGGUGAAUUGUAUACCACAUGGUAAUUAUUCUACACGAUCAACAACUUUUAAUGAAUAUAUUUAAAACAAUAUUAUUUGUUACUUCUAUCGAUGGAGAAAAGAAAAAACACUGACACUCAUUCUGUAAAACAAUAAACCCCCUUUACUGUUUAAACACCAAUAUUUUUUAAGUUAAAUCAACGCUUUAUAAAGUAUUUGAUUUUAACUGCUUAAAUUUUGAGUGUGUUUCAUGUUGAAUUGUUUAAAUAUUAAAAUUUCGUAUUGAUACAGGAGUUAUAAGUUACAUUGGAACUUGUGUAUUGUAUUUUAAGCCAUUGUUGUGAUUAAAUACGAAAUUAAUAGAAAAUUAGGCAACAACUUAGUUGUAGGAAUUGUUAUAAUCUAUAGUCUCUAAAUCAGAUAAAUUUUCAGAUAAUUAAUAGAUAAUAUUGAAAACAACGUUUCCUUCGCCUGGUAGCGUAUACAAUUAAUUUGACUGAUCAUCUGGCGAUGUUCAGUUAAAUGUCAAUACAAAAUAAACUCACAGAACUCUAUAAGCAAUUUGGCUGAUGAAUUGUUUUGUUCAAAUUUUUUUUAAUGUUUACAUUGAUUGUCCGAUUUUGUAAAAAUUUGCAAAUUGAAAAUUAUAUAUUUUAAUAUAGCACAAGUCAAUAUUCAAAAUUUUCAUUGUUUUUAUGCUAAUCGCAAGUAAACAUUUUAUUGUUUUAUAAACAGCUCUCUAAUAUCGAAUCUUAAACACUUGUAACGAUUUGAAUAAUUUUGAUUUAUUCAAAGAUGAUAUGUUAAAAUAAAAAAAUUGUUAAUUAACUAAUUUAUUUUCAUUUUUAAUUUAUUUCAUAUUGGGUAUAUAUGCAUAUGUUUUAUACUACACUAGUUUUUGUAUUCACUGGGAAUAAAUUGUUUAAUAAAUAAAUAUCAAUUGCAAAAAUUUACACUUGAAAAAUUAUUCUCAUUGAACAUUUUUUUAAACUAGACAUUACUAAAUCUGUUUAAAAAUUAUAUUAAAUUUUAACCAUUUGAGUGCUGUCAAUGGCUCUUCUACCAUUCAAUUUAAUGUUGUAAAAUAUAAAUUAUUACAUUUGCUCAUUGUACUUUUAUAUUAUGGUAUAGAUUGUGAAUAACUGUAUAUUUCUAUUAAAUAAAAAUAAAAUCUAAACUGUGUACUUUUAGACCCCGAUCGAUCAAUAGCGGAUGUCAAGUAAUUUAAUGCGAUACAAUUUUAACCAAUUAAAAUAAUGAUAAAACAAAGCCAAUGUAUUAUGCGUAUAUUAUCACAAUUUAUGUGUACUGACUACAUAUUAUGCAUAAUAAUAAGAAACAUGCAGUUAUCGAACAAUGACGGUACCUACUAUAAAAGUGAUAAUGACUUAAAAAUACUUUAAAGCGAUUUAUUACUUAUCUUCAAAGUUACAGUUUCAUAUAACGUAUGUAAACACCCAUGUAUAAACGGACUAAAUUUCUCUCUCUCUCUACCCUUCUCUAGUUCUCUCUAAUAUGAUAUUAUAACUUUCAUAAUAAGCUUCCAUUAAAUAUUUACCAAAUGAUAUUUUAAACAUAAGUUUUGUAUUGGCUGACAAAAUGUAUGCGCAUAAUACAAUAUAUUUUUGAUAUAUUAUGUAUAGUUUAUUUGGUAUUAUAAAAAUGGACAUAUUUUGUAAACUUAUUUUGUCAUUUUAAAAGAAUUUUGUUUUGAAGAAUAUAAAAAUGUAUCAUCGGACUAAAUAUUAAAUUAUU